CGGGUGAGUAAUACAUCGGAACGUGUCUUCUAGUGGGGGAUAACUGCCCGAAAGGGCAGCUAAUACCGCAUGAGACCUGAGGGUGAAAGCGGGGGAUCGCAAGACCUCGCGCUGGAAGAGCGGCCGAUGUCCGAUUAGCUAGUUGGUGAGGUAAAGGCUCACCAAGGCGACGAUCGGUAGCUGGUCUGAGAGGACGACCAGCCACACUAGGACUGAGACACGGCCCAG
rnacentral:rRNA from 1 species